rnacentral:rRNA from 1 species
UUAAUGAAUUCACUAUAGGAGUUGUUGCUGGCCUCUAGGGGCAUGUGCACGCUUCACUAGUCUUUCAACCACCUGUGAACUUUUGAUAGAUCUGUGAAGUCGUCCUUCAAGUCGUCAGACUUGGUUUGCUGGGAUUUAAACGUCUCGGUGUGACAACGCAGUCUAUUUACUUAACACACCCCAAAUGUAUGUCUACGAAUGUCAUUUAAUGGGCCUUGUGCCUAUAAACCAUAAUACAACUUUCAACAACGGAUCUCUUGGCUCUCGCAUCGAUGAAGAACGCAGCGAAAUGCGAUAAGUAAUGUGAAUUGCAGAAUUCAGUGAAUCAUCGAAUCUUUGAACGCACCUUGCGCCCCUUGGUAUUCCGAGGGGCAUGCCUGUUUGAGUGUCAUUAAAUUCUCAAACUCACAUUUAUUUGUGAUGUUUGGAUUGUUGGGGGUUGCUGGCUGUAACAAGUCGGCUCCUCUUAAAUGCAUUAGCAGGACUUCUCAUUGCCUCUGCGCAUGAUGUGAUAAUUAUCACUCAUCAAUAGCACGCAUGAAUAGAGUCCAGCUCUCUAAUCGUCCGCAAGGACAAUUUGACAAUUUGACCUC